AUUGAACGCUGGCGGCAGGCCUAACACAUGCAAGUCGAACGAGUGGCGGACGGGUGACCUAUGUCUGUGAAACUGCCUGAUGGAGGGCGACAACUACCGGAAACUGUUGCCAAAUCCGUACAACUUAGGAUGUGUCCAGUUGGGAUUAGGUAGUAGGUGGGGAAAAGGCACACCUAGGCGACGAUCCCUAGCUGGGCUGAGAGGAUGACCAGCCACACUGGAACUGCGACACGGGCCAGACUCCUACGGGAGGCAGCAGUGGGGAAUAUUGCACAAUGGGCGAAAGCCUGAUGCAGCCAUGCCGCGUGUAUGAAGAAGGCCUUCGGGUUGUAAAGUACUUUCAGCGGGGAGGCGUUACCCACAGAAGAAGCACCGGCUAACUCCGUGCCAGCAGCCGCGGUAAUAC
rnacentral:rRNA from 1 species